GGGUUGUGAGGUUAAGCGACUAAGCGUACACGGUGGAUGCCCUGGCAGUCAGAGGCGAUGAAGGACGUGCUAAUCUGCGAUAAGCGCCGGUAAGGUGAUAUGAACCGUUAUAACCGGCGAUUUCCGAAUGGGGAAACCCAGUGUGAUUCGUCACACUAUCAUUAACUGAAUCCAUAGGUUAAUGAGGCGAACCGGGGGAACUGAAACAUCUAAGUACCCCGAGGAAAAGAAAUCAACCGAGAUUCCCCCAGUAGCGGCGAGCGAACGGGGAGGAGCCCAGAGCCUGAAUCAGCAUGUGUGUUAGUGGAAGCGUCUGGAAAGGCGCGCGAUACAGGGUGACAGCCCCGUACACAAAAGCGCAUGUGCUGUGAGCUCGAUGAGUAGGGCGGGACACGUGGUAUCCUGUCUGAAUAUGGGGGGACCAUCCUCCAAGGCUAAAUACUCCUGACUGACCGAUAGUGAACCAGUACCGUGAGGGAAAGGCGAAAAGAACCCCGGCGAGGGGAGUGAAAAAGAACCUGAAACCGUGUACGUACAAGCAGUGGGAGCACCCUUUGGGGUGUGACUGCGUACCUUUUGUAUAAUGGGUCAGCGACUUAUAUUCUGUAGCAAGGUUAACCGUAUAGGGGAGCCGGAGGGAAACCGAGUCUUAAU
rnacentral:rRNA from 4 species